UGUGAAGGAAAGGUGAAAAGCACCCCGGGAGGGGAGUGAAAGAGAACCUGAAACCUUGUGCUUACAAGCACCGAGAGCCCGUCAACGGGUGAUCGGGUACCUUUUGUAGAAUGGUCCGGCGAGUGAAUGUAACUGGCAAGGUUAAGGACUUAAGGUCUGAAGCCGCAGCGAGAGCAAGUCUUAAUAGGGCGUAAGAAGUCAGUUGUAUUCGACCCGAAACCGGGUGACCUACCCAUGUCCAGGUUGAAGUGGAGGUAAAACUCCAUGGAGGACCGAACCGACUCCCGUUGAAAUGGUAGCGGAUGAGGUGUGGGUAGCGGAGAAAUUCCAAUCGAACCCGGAGAUAGCUGGUUCUCUCCGAAAUAGUUUUAGGACUAGCCUCGUAUUAGAUUACCGGAGGUAAAGCACUGAAUGAGCUAGGGGCCGAGAGGUUACUGAACUCUAUCAAACUCAGAAUGCCGGAUAAUUGAUGUACGGGAGUCAGACAGUGUGAGAUAAGUUUCAUUGUCAAAAGGGAAACAGCCCAGACCCACAGCUAAGGUCCCAAAGUACGGUUAAGUGGAAAAGGAUGUGGAGUUGCACAGACAACCAGGAUGUUGGCUUAGAAGCAGCCACUCAUUAAAAGAGUGCGUAAUAGCUCACUGGUCGAGUGACCCUGCGCCGAAAAUUUAACGGGGCUAAAUCAUACACCGAAGCUUGGGAUUGACAGAUAUUCUUCAUGUUUUCAGGCAGAAAAGGAAAGAGAGGAAAUCUGAUGGCGCCGAAGAAUGAGGCGGCAUUAAAUUUCUGUUCAAGUAAAAGCAUGAAGAUGUGAAGAAUAUCUGUCGAUGGUAGGAGAGCGUUCUAUGUGGGGAGAAGUCUGAGCGGAAGCGCAGGUGGACUGCAUAGAAGUGAGAAUGCCGGAAUGAGUAGCGCGAAAUAUGUGAGAAUCAUAUUGGCCGAAAGUCUAAGGUUUUUGGAGGAAGGUUCGUCCGCUCCAAGUAAGUCGGGAGCUAAGGCGAGGCCGAAAGGCGUAGUCGAUGCACAUACGGUAGAUAUUCCGUAACCGCCGAAGGAUUAAAGCAAAGGGACACCUGCAAAGCGUGUAACCCGGGCGAUGGUUGCCCCGGGCGUAAGGGACCGAAAUUUAGUAGGGAAGUACAUGUAGAGCAGGGCGAGAAAAGCUUUGUGUAUAUCCAAGGCGCCCGUACCGCAAACCGACACAGGUAGAUAGGAAGAGAAUUCUAAGGCCAACGGGAGAAGGGUAGUUAAGGAACUCGGCAAAUUGACCCCGUAACUUAGGAAUAAGGGGUGCCACAGCGAUGUGGUCGCAGAGAAUAGGCCCAGGCAACUGUUUAUCAAAAACACAGGUCUCUGCCAAAUCGAAAGAUGAAGUAUAGGGGCUGACACCUGCCCGGUGCUGGAAGGUUAAGAGGAGAUGUGCAAGCAUUGAAUUGAAGCCCCAGUAAACGGCGGCCGUAACUAUAACGGUCCUAAGGUAGCGAAAUUCCUUGUCGGGUAAGUUCCGACCCGCACGAAUGGUGUAACGAUCUGGACGCUGUCUCAACUGCCCACCCGGCGAAAUUGUAGUACCGGUGAAGAUGCCGGUUACCCGCGGCAAGACGGAAAGACCCCAUGGAGCUUUACUGUAACUUGAUAUUGGGUCUUGGUAUUCUAUGUACAGGAUAGGCGGGAGACUAUGAAACAUACACGCCAGUGUAUGCGGAGUCACCCUUGGGAUACCGCUCUUAGAGUACUGAGAUUCUAACCUGCGGCCGUGAAUCCGGUCGGGGGACAUUGUCAGGUGGGCAGUUUGACUGGGGCGGUCGCCUCCUAAAAGGUAACGGAGGCGCUCAAAGGUUAGCUCAGCACGGUCGGAAACCGUGCCUCUGAGUGCAAACGCAAAAGCUAGCCUAACUGCGAGGCUGACGGGCCGAGCAGUAACGAAAGUUGGAGUUAGUGAUCCGGCGGUAUGUGAAUGGAAAUGCCGUCGCUCAACGGAUAAAAGCUACCCUGGGGAUAACAGGCUGAUCUCCCCCAAGAGUCCACAUCGACGGGGAGGUUUGGCACCUCGAUGUCGGCUCAUCACAUCCUGGGGCUGUAUUCGGUCCCAAGGGUUCGGCUGUUCGCCGAUUAAAGUGG
rnacentral:rRNA from 1 species